GAAAUGCAAUAAGUAAUGUGAAUUGCAGAAUUCAGUGAAUCAUCGAAUCUUUGAACGCAUCUUGCGCUCCUUGGUAUUCCUUGGAGCAUGCCUGUUUGAGUAUCAUGAAAUCUUCAAAGUAAAUCUUUUGUUAACUCAAUUGGUUUCUACUUUGGUAUUGGAGGUCUUUGCAGCUUCACACCUGCUCCUCUUUGUUCAUUAGCUGGAUCUCAGUGUUAUGCUUGGUUCCACUCGGCGUGAUAAGUUAUCUAUCGCUGAGGACACUGUAAAAGGUGGCCAAGGUAAAUGCAGAUGAACCGCUUCUAAUAGUCCAUUGACUUGGACAAUACUUUUAUGAUCUGAUCUCAAAUCAGGUAGGACUACCCGCUGAACUUAAGC
rnacentral:misc_RNA from 1 species